UCUGUAGGUGGUUUGUUAAGUUGAAUGUUAAAUCUAUGGGCUCAACUCAUAGACCGCAUUCAAUACUGGCAGACUUGAGGAAGGAAGAGGUAAGCGGAAUUACCGGUGGAGCGGUGAAAUGCGUAGAUAUCGGUAGGAACACCAAUGGCGAAGGCAGCUUACUGGGCCUCUCCUGACACUGAGAGACGAAAGCGUGGGGAGCGAACGGAAUUAGAUACUCCGGUAGUCCACGCCGUAAACGAUGAUCACUAGCUGUUCGAGGUGUCGACCCCUUGAGUAGCGAAGCUAACGCGUUAAGUGAUCCGCCUGGGGAGUACGGUCGCAAGACUAAA
rnacentral:rRNA from 1 species